UCGACCUUGCUCAUGUUAGGGCGAGGUUCUCCUCCUGUCCCUAACAUGGUUGUGGGGGCGCAUAUGGGUGCUGUAUGGCCUCUCCCCCCAUCCGAUCUACAAAUAAUCGGACCUUCAACCUUGCUCAUGUUAGGGCGAGGUUCUCUUCCUGUCCCUAACAUGGCUGUGGGGGCGCAUAUGGGCGCUGUAUGGCCUCUCCCCCGGUCCGGUCUAUAAAUAAUCGGGCCUUCGACCUUGCUCAUAUUAGGACGAGGUUCUCCUCCUGUCCCUAACAUGGCUGUGGGGGUGCACAUGGGCACUGUAUGGCCUCUCCCCCCAUCCAGUCUAAAAAUAAUCGGGCCCUCGGCCUUGCUCAUGUUAGGGCGAGGUUCUCCUCCUGUCCCUAACAUGGCUGUGGGGGCACGUAAGGGCGUUGCAGGGCCUCUCCCCUCCGUCCGAUCUUAAAAUAAUCGGACUUUCAACUUUGCCCAUAUUAGGGUUUGUUUUCGUUGUCCGAAGGGGUCAUCCCCUGUCGUUACAAGUCCAUGCCAAAAAGGGAAAGAUGUGCGAAUCUGAAAGGGAUCUUGAUUUAAAGCGAAGUCGUUUGUAAUACAUUUACAGAUUUUUCAAAUCUCAGGACUGUAGAAGGUCUGCUCUCCGUCAAGGUCCUCCAGAGACGGAGUUGAUGAUCCCAAUCGGAGGUCAAUCUCCGGGCUACUCUUUCCUCCUUGGCG
rnacentral:lncRNA from 1 species